rnacentral:lncRNA from 1 species
UUUCGUUUUCUUUUUUCAUUUCCGAAAGUUUUCAAUUUCUAAAAUCUUAAGAAAUUUUCUACCCUAAGGCUGACAUGGCAUAAAAUUUCAACUCGUCUAAUUGACCGACACAAUAAAAUGAAAUUCACCAAUCUGAAAUUGACACGUGUUCUCCAAACACUUUUCUUUUUGACUUUUCAACCAUCACACAAAAUAAGACUUUUCAAACUAAAAAUGCUAACGUGUCAUAAAAUACCCAGUCAUUACAUCCUACCCCCUUAAAAGAAAUUUCGUCUCGAAAUUUAAACUAGC